rnacentral:rRNA from 1 species
GGCUGAAGUAGGUCCCAAGGGUAUGGCUGUUCGCCAUUUAAAGUGGUACGCGAGCUGGGUUUAGAACGUCGUGAGACAGUUCGGUCCCUAUCUGCCGUGGGCGCUGGAGAAUUGAGGGGGGCUGCUCCUAGUACGAGAGGACCGGAGUGGACGCAUCACUGGUGUUCGGGUUGUCAUGCCAAUGGCACUGCCCGGUAGCUAAAUGCGGAAGAGAUAAGUGCUGAAAGCAUCUAAGCACGAAACUUGCCCCGAGAUGAGUUCUCCCUGAGACUAUAAGUCUCCUGAAGGAACGUUGAAGACGACGACGUUGAUAGGCCGGGUGUGUAAGCGCAGCGAUGCGUUGAGCUAACCGGUACUAAUGAACCGUGAGGCUUAACCUUACAACGCCGAAG